AUGCGUUACUGAGCAUGUCCGGUGCCCGAAGGGGCGCUUUGGACGCCAGUGAAGCGAGGAGAGGCGGAGAAGGAACCGAGCGGGCAGUUGAGGGAAAUCUCGGAGGAGGUUACCUGCGAUCAAACUGGGGCUGCGUAGUGUUAGGGUCAGGCAGCUUUGAAGUGGAAUCCGGAUCCGCCACUCUCGCUGCGUGAUAUUGGGCAUGCCAUCAAAGCGCUCUCAACCGAACGUCUCGGGAAUUUUCUGGGAAGUUAAGAAUUUCCAAUAAAUCUUGGACUACUCUAAAAUGCACCAGAAAUUACGUGGUCACACUCGUGCAGUGAAAGAAGGCUUUGGCAGUAGCAUAAGACAUUAAGCAGAAGUAGGAAAUGCAGUGAGGAAGAAGUUGUAAUGUUUUCAACAGCUGCCACUAUGGAUCUAGGAUGAGAGCUUUCCACAUGUUGUUAAGAAUGAGAGACAGAUUACUCCAAGGUAGUAACUCCGGAACAAUGAAGGAGGAAGAAUGAAUGAGUUGCGCCCUGAAGAUGGUGGGCUCUCCUUUAUGCAUGAUCAUCACGAUCUCUCUGCAAUGUCUGUCCUGUGACCUCGUGAGGUGUGCAGCGUCAUGCCAGACAUCUGUGUUUGGAUGGCCCUCUGGCUCCUCCACAAUUACUGCAGAGUCAGAAGUGGAAUUUCCGCCUGAUGUUUUAUGUCAAAAUCAGUAUGAAAGACUGCAGCAUGCUGAGUGAGCUUUCCGUUCUCGCUGAGAUGCAAUGCAGGGUCCACCCUCUGCAGGCCACAAUUUUGCCUGGAGGCAAAGCAUUCAGUCUUUCCAUUGGCCUGACAAUUUGAGCCAAGCUUUGAGGCCAACAGACAAAAUGCACUAGCAACUGGAGAGGGCCUGCCUGGUGGCCCUCCCUGUGAGAAGGUAUUCUUCCUGCUCCAUUGACAUCAGGCUUAUUAGCCAUGUUUCUGGAUUUGGUCCAUUUCAUCAUAAAGAGAACAUGGAGCAGGGCUGCAGCUGAUCUUCAAAGGGCAUGAACACAAGCCAGAGAGAAGCCGUUAUUGUUGUAAGCCCUGAAGAUUUGGGGGAUAUUAUUGCAACACAACUCAGCCCAAGCUGACUAAUACAACAAGUUUCUAUGUAUACAUGGAAAUGUAUGUAAUCUUAGCCUCAAAAAAAAAAAAAAGAAAAAAAGAGUAUCUGAAAAUCCCAGGAUACUCGGGGCUCAUGGUGCGUAGUCAAUGAAAUGAUUAGCUCUCUUUCUUCAUCCUUCCCUCUCCAAUCUUUUCUUUUCAUUCUCCUUCAUCUCAUUCUCCUUCUCUCUGUGAUUUACAAAGCUGGUCAUGGAAAAAAAAACAUAGGAGUCAGAAGGCUUCGAUUCUAGGUUCAUAUGUAUGAGAUUUUUUGGAAAAAACUCAUACUCUCAAGGAGUCUCAGUUUCCUCAUCUUCAAGUGGGGAUAAUAACACCCUCUUUACCUAUUCUGCUGGGUUCUUUUGUAGAUCACAUGAAAGAGAGGUUAUGGAAAUCCUUUAUAUAUGUUUUGAAAAUUCUAUCCAGUUGCUGUGGCCUGAAUGUUUGUGUUCUUCAAAAUUUAUAUGUUGAAACCUAAUCACUGAUGUGAUGGUGUUUGAAGGUAAGGCUGUUAGAAGGUGAUUGGCACAAACCCCUCAUAAGAGAAGCCCCAAAGAGAGCUAGCUUGCCUGUUUCACCAUGUGAGGACAUGGUGAGAAGAAGCCAUGUAAGAAUCAGGAAACAGGUCCUCACCAGGCAUGGAAUAUGUCAGCACCUUGAUCUCGGACUUACCAGCCUCCAAACUAGUGACAAAUAAAUUACUAUUCACUAGCUGCCCAAUUAAUGGUAUUUUAUUAUGAUAGACUGAACUGACUAGGACACUAGUUAUAUGAUGAAAAUACCCUACUACUAUUACUACUGCUAGUACUUCCUGUAUUUGCUCAUAUUUUUGGAGGUCUUAUUAUGUUCCAAGUAUGGUUCUAAGUGCUUUUCAUCAGUAACUCUUGUAAGAGCCUAUUUUUAAUUCAGCAAAGGCAACAAAAUACUUUCCCUGGUUUAGUGAGGAGUAUUAACUAAUUGGGGGUAUAAACAUAACAUGGUUUCGUUUUUUCAAUAGUUGCUACUACUCUUGUUCUCCAUAGCAACUUUGGUUUCAAUUCCAUAACUUUCCUGUUGUUUCUGGUCAAAGGAACAGUUGCCUCUAGUUCCUCUGUCUAUUUUAAUAUUUUGACCCUCUCCAUUCCUGUCAGGACAGGUGGAACUCGUGGCAUAGGAAGUUCAAGUGGCAGAGGGGGCCCAGUCUGUACUUGUCUCUACUCCCCCAGAGGAGGAAAGAAAGCAAGACAGAUGCUCCCUCACGUGGAUGUCCAUGGUAUAGUUGCUGUCCUCCCCUUGGGUGGCCAUGACUGCUAUUCCUGUCCACUGAGCUUCAUGAGGGUUGGGGUGCCUCCCUCACCAGGAUCAGACUCUGGGGUCCCCCAGCAGGAGGUACCGUGUGUAUUCCUCUGUGGGCCUUGUAUGGUCCUCCUUCCCCUUCUGCUGCGUGGGUCCCUAGGGAUGCCAUUGCUCCAAAAAUACUUGCUUUCCCAAGCUCUUCAACUCCAGGGCUCAAAAUCCCCUGGGGAUCCCCUUCCUGUAGGUCUUGAGAAUUGCAACUUGGGGGCAGUCCUGACCUGGUCAUCAUCCUCCUCACCACCUCACUGUGCCAUCUCCUCACCUCAUUCUCUAACCCCCAAAAGAUGACCACUGAUGACCAGUCUCCAGGUCAGUGGAGAACGUGUGUGGAGAAGUGCAGGAGGGGUGACAAAGCAUCCCCAAACCUUACAAGUUAUUUCCUUGAUUUUGGAGAAGAAAUCCACUGGGUAGUGCCCACCACCCCCUCACACAGCUCCAGCUAGAAGUAACGAUUUACUCCCUCCCUACACUCCUCUUAUUUUGUCUUUGAGGGUGGGGGUGCUGGUUUUGCUGAAAUGACUCUGCUCAGUCAGGCUUUUGAGAGUGGGAGGGCAGGGGGCAAAGGCAGAAAGGGAAGCAACCAGGCCUUUCUCUGCCUGUUCUCUGAACUCAGAGCAUGGGGUACUAAGGACCUGGGUUCUCUGCUGUGGGCCCAAAGAGGAAACAACAAGAUCCACUUGGUACCUAAUACCCUGUCACACAGAGGUACAACAUCUCCAGCUUGAGGUGGUGUCCUGUGAGUGAUAGCAGCUCCAGGAUGGUGCAUUUACCACUGAGGAAAAGUAGAAUGAGCCCCAGCGUUGGGGGAGCGAUCUGGGAACUGCCCUCCUAUUUGCUCCCACAAUAUCCUGCAGGUUCUAUGAUACAGGUAGUUAGAGCUACUCACUAGGCUGCCUGUCUUCCCCUCCACUGCAGGACAUGCCUGUAUUUUGUCCUCAUCUGUUGCUGUAGUUUGGAUGUGUUAUUUUUUUUUCCUUUGCAUGAGUUUCCAUGCAGAACACAUGUUGGAAUUUAACUGCCAAUGUAAUGGGUGUUGGGAGGUGGGGCCUUUAUCCAAACUUUAAUUAGGUCAUUAAGAUGAUUAGUGUCCUUCUCUGGAGAGACUGGAUUAGGUCUCUUGGGAAUGAAUUAGUUCUCGUGAAAGCUGGUUGUUAUAAAGUGAGGCUGCCUCUCGUGUUUGGUGUCUUUGUACGCUUCUGCUUCCCCUUCCUUCUGCUUUCCACCGGGAGUCAAAGCAGCACCAAGUCCUCACCAGAUGGGCUGCUGGAUCUUGUACUUCCCAGCCUGCAUGACUGUAAGCUCCAUAAACCUCUUUUUAUUCCUUGUAAAUUACCCGGUCUUAGGUAUUCAACAGAAUUGAAUUGCUUAGGUAGCAACACAAAACAGAUGAAGACAUCUGUAUUCCCAGGACCUGGGACAGCACCUGGUAUAUGCAACCUACUCAGCAAAUGUUCUCUAGAAUCUUUAGAGAUUUGGGAAUAUGAAGGAAAAAAAAACUAGAAAAAUGGGGUGGCAGAUAUAUUCCAGAUAAAAAAUAUUUCAGGUGAAUUCUACAAAUCAGGGUGGGUUUCAGACAACUGUGAAUCAUGAGUAUACUUGUUGGGGGAAAAAUUCACAUAGCAAAGACAGCUACUUCUUGCGGUACCCACUGAGGGACUGGGGCAAGGGCAAUGAGAGGCAUAAG
rnacentral:lncRNA from 1 species